rnacentral:rRNA from 1 species
ACGAACGCUGGCGGCGUGCUUCACCCAUGCAAGUCGCACGGUAAGGCUCCAGCUUGCUGGGGUACACGAGUGGCGAACGGGUGAGUAACACGUGGGUGACCUGCCCUGCACUUCGGGAUAAGCCUGGGAAACUGGGUCUAAUACCGGAUAGGACCAUGGUGUGGAUACUGUGGUGGAAAGUUUUUUCGGUGUGGGAUGGGCCCGCGGCCUAUCAGCUUGUUGGUGGGGUAAUGGCCUACCAAGGCGGCGACGGGUAGCCGGCCUGAGAGGGUGGACGGCCACAUUGGGACUGAGACACGGCCCAGACUCCUGCGGGAGGCAGCAGUGGGGAAUAUUGCACAAUGGGCGGAAGCCUGAUGCAGCGACGCCGCGUGGGGGAUGACGGCCUUCGGGUUGUAAACUCCUUUCACCAUCGACGAAGGGUUUCUGACGGUAGAUGGAGAAGAAGCACCGGCUAACUACGUG